rnacentral:rRNA from 1 species
UACGUAGGGGGCGAGCGUUGUCCGGAAUUAUUGGGCGUAAAGCGCGCGCAGGCGGUCUCUUAAGUCUGAUGUGAAAGCCCACGGCUCAACCGUGGAGGGUCAUUGGAAACUGGGGGACUUGAGGGCAGGAGAGGAGAGCGGAAUUCCACGUGUAGCGGUGAAAUGCGUAGAGAUGUGGAGGAACACCAGUGGCGAAGGCGGCUCUCUGGCCUGCAACUGACGCUGAUGCGCGAAAGCGUGGGGAGCAAACAGG